rnacentral:rRNA from 1 species
GAUGAACGCUGGCGGCGUGCCUAAUACAUGCAAGUCGAGCGAACAGACGAGGAGCUUGCUCCUCUGACGUUAGCGGCGGACGGGUGAGUAACACGUGGAUAACCUACCUAUAAGACUGGGAUAACUUCGGGAAACCGGAGCUAAUACCGGAUAAUAUAUUGAACCGCAUGGUUCAAUAGUGAAAGACGGUUUUGCUGUCACUUAUAGAUGGAUCCGCGCCGCAUUAGCUAGUUGGUAAGGUAACGGCUUACCAAGGCAACGAUGCGUAGCCGACCUGAGAGGGGGAGCGGCAAAACGGGGAAGUAGAGAAGGUAGAGAAGAGUACGGGAGGGAGCAGUACGGAAUAUUGGGGAAGGGGUGCAUGACGGAGAGAGCAAUACAGCGUGAAUGAUGAAGGUCUUAUGAUAGUUAAACUCUGUUAGUAGAGAAGAACAGAAGUGCACGAAACGGUGCACAUCGUGGGGCUAGGUAAUCAGAAAGCAAGGGCUAGCCAAGUC